rnacentral:rRNA from 1 species
UUGCUCUUCAACGAGGAAUUCCUAGUAAGCGUGAGUCAUCAGCUCGCGUUGAUUACGUCCCUGCCCUUUGUACACACCGCCCGUCGCUACUACCGAUUGAAUGGCUUAGUGAGCCUUUGGGAUCGGCAGCUUGGACCGUCGCCGGUCGCAGGCCGCUGAAAACUUAUGCAAACUUGGUCAUUUAGAGGAAGUAAAAGUCGUAACAAGGUUUCUGUAGGUGAACCUGCAGAAGGAUCAUUAGUGAAGCAUGGGCAGCCAUACGGAUAUGCAAAACUGCGUGUCCCUGGCGCCUAACCCACUAUAUCCACCUAACCCCUGUGCACUGUGUGCGGAUGCGAUGAUUGUUCAUUGCGUCCGCCCAAGUAUAAACUCGUAUGGUUGUAUGUACGUGGAAAAAGUAGGACAAACCUACGAACCAAACACAACUUUCGACAACGGAUCUCUUGGUUCUCCCAUCGAUGAAGAACGCAGCGAAACGCGAUAGGUAAUGUGAAUUGCAGAAUUCCGUGAAUCAUCGAAUCUUUGAACGCAACUUGCGCUCCAUGGUAUUCCGUGGAGCAUGCCUGUUUGAGUGCCGCGAAUUCUCCCUCCCCAUGCGGUGGCCGCAAGGCCGGAGCGUGGCGGUUAGGGGUAGGAUGGGUGCCCUGCCUGGCGGCUUGGACCGCUAGGCUCGCCCGAAAUGCAUAAGCGCCAGGACCCUCGCUACUGCUCUCUAGGGAAGAGCAGCCGAGCGACCGCUGAGCAUGGCAUGAUACGUCAUUUGCUAUGUGUGGGCGGCCGGACGGAGAGGUGUCUGCUUUAUAACAGCCCUUUUUGAUUCUGGUCUCAAAUCAGGUAGGAUCACCCGCUGAACUUAAGCAUAUCAAUAAGCGGAGGA